AAUUAACCUGGCCAGGUUGGAGAGGAGAAAGGUGGCCAGUACUACAUGCAGGUAGCCUAGCGGUUACAGUGUUGGGGCAUAAACCGAAAGGUAGCUGUUCAAAUACCUGAGGGGACAAGGUAAAAAAAUCUGCCGAUGUUCCCUUGAGCAAGAUGCAGAUCUCUGAGACCUACCACGUGCCUUGAUGAUGCCCUCUGUAACUGGCCUGGAGUUAGCCUCCAUUAUGAGGACUCACCCCCACCCAGGGGUGGUAGGUAGCUAAGCUGUUAAGCUCUUGGGCCAACAACUGAAAGGUUGCUGGUUUGAAUCCCAGACCCGGCAAGGUGAAAGAAAUCUGCCAUUCUGCCAUUGAGCAAGGUUCUAAUCUCAGAGGCCAGAGCAGUGUGGAUGGAAAAUUAGAAGGAAGUAGAAAGUGUUAUUCCAGAGCACUGGAUCAAAGUGUGUGGUGGCCCCCAAAUAAAUAUGACAAAGCAAUGAAGGAUUGGUCCACACCCUCUCUGAAAUGGAAGUCCUUUCAGCUUCUGAGGAUAAAACUCACAUCAGAAUCAAAACAGCAAUGUGAAGACAUCAAAAUCACAGAAGCCAGUGAAGUGGAGAUGUCCAAGAGAAACCGAACUGGCAAAAGUCUACCCAAGCCCCCACCAAAUUAUGCCCCAAAGCACCAGAAAACCUGUGCCACCGCUACCAAGAAGCAAAAAGCUAAAACGCAGCACAAACCACCAAAAAACCUUUGCCAGUACCGCUAAGAAGCAAAAGGCUAAAAUGUCCUGCAAGCCACCAAGUGUGAGGAUGGGGAAACGGCAAACUAAAACGCUGCACAAGUCAGACCUUCAGAUGAGAGACCCCAUCACCAAAGCGCUGCAAAGGCUCAGACCCUUUUCCUAUGUCGAAGAAAAUAAUUGUUAAAAAUUAUCCGAUAUCUCAUCCGGUUGAGGAAUUCGAUUUCAACCUGAACGAGAUGGAGGACGAUUUACUAAAGAUGGAAGAGCAGCUAAUGGAGAAGGAUUUUUUUAAUUACAUGAUAAAGAAUCUCAAAGCUGG
rnacentral:lncRNA from 1 species